rnacentral:rRNA from 1 species
GACGAACGCUGGCGGCGUGCUUAACACAUGCAAGUCGAACGGAAAGGCCUUUUCGGAGGUACUCGAGUGGCGAACGGGUGAGUAACACGUGGGUGAUCUGCCCUGCACUCUGGGAUAAGCCUGGGAAACUGGGUCUAAUACCGGAUAGGACCGCACUUUAGUGUGUGUGGUGGAAAGUUUUUUCGGUGUAGGAUGAGCCCGCGGCCUAUCAGCUUGUUGGUGGGGUAAUGGCCUACCAAGGCGGCGACGGGUAGCCGGACUGGGAGGUUGGUCGGCCACAUUGGGACUGAGAUACGGCCCAGACUCCUACGGGAGGCAGCAGUGGGGAAUAUUGCACAAUGGGCGCAAGCCUGAUGCAGCGUCGCCGCGUGGGGGAGGACGGCCUUCGGGUUGUAAACUCCUUUCGCCAGGGACGAAGCGUUUUGUGACGGUACCUGGAGAAGAAGCACCGGCUAACUACGUG